GGAUGGACGCACCGCUGGUGUACCAGUUGUUCUGCCAAGGGCAUCGCUGGGUAGCUAUGUGCGGACGGGAUAAGUGCUGAAAGCAUCUAAGCAUGAAGCCCCCCUCAAGAUGAGAUUUCCCAUUCCGUAAGGAAGUAAGAUCCCUGAAAGAUGAUCAGGUUGAUAGGUCUGAGGUGGAAGUGUGGCGACACAUGGAGCUGACAGAUACUAAUCGAUCGAGGACUUAACCACAUUU
rnacentral:rRNA from 2 species